rnacentral:rRNA from 1 species
AUGAGGAGGGAGGCCUGGCUCGAGAGCCGGGCUGACGUUUCAAACAAUGGAGGCGAGCAGAGAGCCUGGUCAAAGCUGUGGAAAGUGCAUGUCCCCUCAAAGAAAUAUGUCGACAACUACCUCGUGCAAGCUGUGUGGGCGGAGGCCUCUUGGCAACACUCACUUCUACAUUACAGCGUAGCAAGAUGUGUUUGGGCUCUACAGGACCUUGAUCUUUUCGAAGCUCUCAAUAACACCCAUGACCCGGAUGCAAAGAGAUGGAUCUUUGCACUCAUAGAGAUGCCACCCCCCUCCGAAUUCACCCAGGUUUUGGUGACUUUAUGGGCCAUCUAG